AUACGUAGGUGGCAAGCGUUGUCCGGAAUUACUGGGCGUAAAGCGCACGUAGGCGGAUUGGCCAGUUGGGGGUGAAAGCCCAGGGCUUAACCCUGGAACUGCCCUCAAUACUGCCAGUCUUGAGUCCGGGAGAGGUGAGUGGAAUUCCUAGUGUAGAGGUGAAAUUCGUAGAUAUUGGGAAGAACACCAGUGGCGAAGGCGGCCACCUGGCCCGGUACUGACGCUGAGGUGCGAAAGCGUGGGGAGCAAACAGGAUUAGAAACCCCAGUAGUCC
rnacentral:rRNA from 1 species